CCCUUAGAUGUUCUGGGCCGCACGCGCGCUACACUGAUGCAUUCAACGAGUCUAAAACCUGCUCUGAUAGGGGUGGGUAAUCUUUUGAAUGUGCAUCGUGAUUGGGAUAGAUGAUUGAAAUUUUUCACCUUCAACGAGGAAUGCCUAGUAAACGCAAGUCAUCAGCUUGCAUUGAUUACGUCCCUGCCCUUUGUACACACCGCCCGUCGUUCCUACCGAUUGAAUGAUCCGAUGAAUAUCAUGGAUUGAGGAUGCAAGUAGGUUCACCUAUCUUCAUCUUCGAGAAGUGAAGUAAAUCUUAUCAUUUAGAGGAAGGAGAAGUCGUAACA
rnacentral:rRNA from 1 species